UUUAUUCCUUUUCUCCAAGAAUUACCUAUUGCUUUUAUCUAUUCCUGUACACGUGUUGUGUGUAGACUCAAGAUACUGUUCAUCAUUUACACGAGUCUUUCUCCUUUACCACCGUCACUUUGGUUACUUUACUCCCAACACGUAAAUGUCUCUACUUUCUUCUAAUUUCUCCACUGCCUCAUCUGCUGCUCGCCUUCCACCACCGAUCGCCCAAAUCGACUCUCUUUCGUACCCCACGAUCGCCCCACCCCGAUGCCUGCUUACAAAGGUGGAGAAGAGGACGCCACCGUCGCCACCGCCUCCAUCGUCCUAAUUCAUGAGCCCUAAUUUCCCCUUUAUCAGAGGUAAUUGAUAGCGGAGACGAGGCAGACGAUCACCUCACACCGACGCCUGCUUACAAAGGUGGAGAAGAGGACCCACCGCCAUCAUCUAUACAUUGAACAUCUAAAAUGAUCGCUACCCUCUCCUUCAAUUCCCACCGCUUGUGAUCAGAAUUGUUGGGUGGUACCGCCUGCAUCGUCGACUCCUCUCUAAAACCGGUAUCUUCACUUACUCCACCGGUUGAAGUCAAAGGUUACUAUCUCAAUCAAGAAUUUUACUAGGUUUUUGUUUUCCUAAAGAUGAAUGGAUGGUGAUGUUGAACUUCUCAACGAAGCCUAAUUUAAGGUCAUGAUAUCAAAAUACCUGAAAUUUUUGUGUUUCUGAAAUCGGUGGGGUGUGUGAUGGAUUAAAGUUCACGAUUGAAGCCUUCCCUCUGCUUUGUAUCUAUUUGUUUUCCAGAGACAAUAGAUGACAUAAAGGCACCAGCUUCCUGUUUUGUUUUUGUUUUGCUUUUCAAAUUCUUUGUACAUGUUGCACUAUAAUUGACAUAUACCGUCAAUGAUAUUUUUUUUUGUAACAACUGUUAUAAAGGGUAUCCAAAUAUUUAACUUUAAAUAA